GAGCGGUAUUGUUUCUUCGGAAACGAGAGAGCGGCGCACGGGUGCGGAACACGUGUGCAACCUGCCUUUAUCUGGGGGAUAGCCAUUCGAAAGGAAGAUUAAUACCCCAUAAUAUUUUGAAUGGCAUCAUUUAAAAUUGAAAACUCCGGUGGAUAGAGAUGGGCACGCGCAAGAUUAGAUAGUUGGUAGGGUAACGGCCUACCAAGUCAGUGAUCUUUAGGGGGCCUGAGAGGGUGAUCCCCCACACUGGUACUGAGACACGGACCAGACUCCUACGGGAGGCAGCAGUGAGGAAUAUUGGACAAUGGGUGAGAGCCUGAUCCAGCCAUCCCGCGUGAAGGACGACGGCCCUAUGGGUUGUAAACUUCUUUUGUACAGGGAUAAACCUUUCCACGUGUGGAAAGCUGAAGGUACUGUACGAAUAAGCACCGGCUAACUCCGUG
rnacentral:rRNA from 1 species